rnacentral:lncRNA from 1 species
GGAAGCACUAAGUAAGUAUUUAGCCAUGCUCCGUCAUGUUACUGUUACUGUAUUUUGCAGCCCUCUUAAGCGGGCCUUUUUCUUACAGAUCCGGGAACAUAAAAGUGACUGCAGAACAGGCCAGAGAUGGGAGGCGUUGCUCAAAUUCACAUGACUUUCUUUCAAAGAAUAUAUGUGUAUAACUGAGUCCCUUUGCUGUCCAGCAGGAAUUAAGACAACACUGUAAAUCAACUAUACUUCAAUUCAAUUUUAAAAAAAUGAUCACAAGGGACUUUCUUUGUGUCUGCAUAUGCUUUAUCCCAGCAAGGAAGGAUAUAAAGAAAGGAGACAGGAGUUCUCGUCGUGGCGCAGUGGUUAACGAAUCCGACUAGGAACCAUGAGGUUGUGGGUUCGGUCCCUGCCCUUGCUCAGGGGUUAAGGACCUAGCAUUGCCCUGAGCUGUGGUGUAGGUCACAGAUCCAGCUCGGAUCCCAUGUUGCUGUGGCUCUGGCGUAGGCUGGAGGCUACAACUUUGAUUCAGCCUCUAGCCUGUGAACCUCCAUAUGCCGCAGGUACAGUCCUAAAAAGACUAAUAAUAAUAAUAAUAAUAAUAAUAAUAAAUAUAAAUGGCCAGAAAGUUUUGUCCAAGUUCAUAAAACUGUGCUCUCAAAAUACAAGGGGGCUAUCACAGAAAAAGCAAAAAGCCUGGAGACCCAGUUUUAAUAUUAUUGUAAGGAAUUAUGUGCAGGCAGAGAGCUAAGUGCCAUACAAAUAUUAACUCACUUAUUUGUCUUACCCCCUUAGGGUAGGCAAUGUAAGUAUCCUUAUUCUACUAUGAGGAAACUGAAGCAGUGGGAAAUAAAGACUAAAGAAAUUGGAGUUCCCUGGUGGCCUACUGUUUAAGGACCUGGCAUGGUCACCACUGUGGCUCACGGGUCACUGCUCUGGUGUGGGUUUAGUCCCUGGCCUGGAACAUCUGCAUGCCACCCACAGGCACAGCCAUAAAAAAAAA